rnacentral:rRNA from 1 species
UACAGAGGUGCCAAGCGUUGUUCGGAUUUAUUGGGCGUAAAGGGUGCGUAGGUGGUGAUGCAAGUCGGGUGUGAAAUACCGGAGCCUAACUCCGGAACGGCAUUCGAAACUGCAUCGCUCGAGGUCUGGAGAGGUGACUGGAAUUCUCGGUGUAGCAGUGAAAUGCGUAGAUAUCGAGAGGAACACCAGAGGCGAAGGCGAGUCACUGGACAGGACCUGACACUGAGGCACGAAAGCUAGGGGAGCAAACGGG